CUCCCCAAGGAUACUUUCGAACCUUCUCAAGAUCCAUGACCACCUUGAUGUAUUUGAGGGGGAUAUUAGCCUUCUCAUCUCUCGCUAAAACCACACAAAGAAUGAUGGCCAGAUAGAUCAGUCGUAUGCGAUCUGCAUUCUUCCACUUCUUAACAGCUUCCUUGUCCUUAUUCCACAGGUUGAAGAGUGUAAUUGUUCCAUCUUUUCUCCUCAACACAUUGCUCCAGAAACCACCGUCAUAUUUCCACUC
rnacentral:lncRNA from 1 species